UAGAGUUUGAUCAUGGCUCAGGACGAACGCUGGCGGCGUGCCUAAUACAUGCAAGUCGAACGAACUCUGGUAUUGAUUGGUGCUUGCAUCAUGAUUUACAUUUGAGUGAGUGGCGAACUGGUGAGUAACACGUGGGAAACCUGCCCAGAAGCGGGGGAUAACACCUGGAAACAGAUGCUAAUACCGCAUAACAACUUGGACCGCAUGGUCCGAGUUUGAAAGAUGGCUUCGGCUAUCACUUUUGGAUGGUCCCGCGGCGUAUUAGCUAGAUGGUGGGGUAACGGCUCACCAUGGCAAUGAUACGUAGCCGACCUGAGAGGGUAAUCGGCCACAUUGGGACUGAGACACGGCCCAAACUCCUACGGGAGGCAGCAGUAGGGAAUCUUCCACAAUGGACGAAAGUCUGAUGGAGCAACGCCGCGUGAGUGAAGAAGGGUUUCGGCUCGUAAAACUCUGUUGUUAAAGAAGAACAUAUCUGAGAGUAACUGUUCAGGUAUUGACGGUAUUUAACCAGAAAGCCACGGCUAACUACGUGCCAGCAGCCGCGGUAAUACGUAGGUGGCAAGCGUUGUCCGGAUUUAUUGGGCGUAAAGCGAGCGCAGGCGGUUUUUUAAGUCUGAUGUGAAAGCCUUCGGCUCAACCGAAGAAGUGCAUCGGAAACUGGGAAACUUGAGUGCAGAAGAGGACAGUGGAACUCCAUGUGUAGCGGUGAAAUGCGUAGAUAUAUGGAAGAACACCAGUGGCGAAGGCGGCUGUCUGGUCUGUAACUGACGCUGAGGCUCGAAAGUAUGGGUAGCAAACAGGAUUAGAUACCCUGGUAGUCCAUACCGUAAACGAUGAAUGCUAAGUGUUGGAGGGUUUCCGCCCUUCAGUGCUGCAGCUAACGCAUUAAGCAUUCCGCCUGGGGAGUACGGCCGCAAGGCUGAAACUCAAAGGAAUUGACGGGGGCCCGCACAAGCGGUGGAGCAUGUGGUUUAAUUCGAAGCUACGCGAAGAACCUUACCAGGUCUUGACAUACUAUGCAAAUCUAAGAGAUUAGACGUUCCCUUCGGGGACAUGGAUACAGGUGGUGCAUGGUUGUCGUCAGCUCGUGUCGUGAGAUGUUGGGUUAAGUCCCGCAACGAGCGCAACCCUUAUUAUCAGUUGCCAGCAUUAAGUUGGGCACUCUGGUGAGACUGCCGGUGACAAACCGGAGGAAGGUGGGGAUGACGUCAAAUCAUCAUGCCCCUUAUGACCUGGGCUACACACGUGCUACAAUGGAUGGUACAACGAGUUGCGAACUCGCGAGAGUAAGCUAAUCUCUUAAAGCCAUUCUCAGUUCGGAUUGUAGGCUGCAACUCGCCUACAUGAAGUCGGAAUCGCUAGUAAUCGCGGAUCAGCAUGCCGCGGUGAAUACGUUCCCGGGCCUUGUACACACCGCCCGUCACACCAUGAGAGUUUGUAACACCCAAAGUCGGUGGGGUAACCUUUUAGGAACCAGCCGCCUAAGGUGGGACAGAUGAUUAGGGUGAAGUCGUAACAAGGUAGCCGUAGGAGAACCUGCGGUUGGA
rnacentral:rRNA from 2 species